rnacentral:rRNA from 1 species
GAAUGCUGACAUGAGUAGCGACAAAGAGUGUGAGAAACACUCUCGCCGUAAGCCCAAGGUUUCCUGCGCAAGGCUAAUCCGCGCAGGGUCAGUCGGCCCCUAAGACGAGGGCGAAAGCCGUAGUCGAUGGGAAUCAGGUUAAUAUUCCUGAACCUGGUGGGAUGUGACGAAUACCGGAAGCCGUACAUUCUUAUUGGAUUGAGUGUGCGGCCUGGGUGUUCCAGGAAAUAGCCCCAUCAUAUAGACCGUACCCCAAACCGACACAGGUGGGCAGGUAGAG